ACGAACGCUGGCGGCGUGCCUAAUACAUGCAAGUCGAACGCUUCUUUUUCCACCGGAGCUUGCUCCACCGGAAAAAGAGGAGUGGCGAACGGGUGAGUAACACGUGGGUAACCUGCCCAUCAGAAGGGGAUAACACUUGGAAACAGGUGCUAAUACCGUAUAACAAUCGAAACCGCAUGGUUUUGAUUUGAAAGGCGCUUUCGGGUGUCGCUGAUGGAUGGACCCGCGGUGCAUUAGCUAGUUGGUGAGGUAACGGCUCACCAAGGCGACGAUGCAUAGCCGACCUGAGAGGGUGAUCGGCCACAUUGGGACUGAGACACGGCCCAAACUCCUACGGGAGGCAGCAGUAGGGAAUCUUCGGCAAUGGACGAAAGUCUGACCGAGCAACGCCGCGUGAGUGAAGAAGGUUUUCGGAUCGUAAAACUCUGUUGUUAGAGAAGAACAAGGAUGAGAGUAACUGUUCAUCCCUUGACGGUAUCUAACCAGAAAGCCACGGCUAACUACGUGCCAGCAGCCGCGGUAAUACGUAGGUGGCAAGCGUUGUCCGGAUUUAUUGGGCGUAAAGCGAGCGCAGGCGGUUUCUUAAGUCUGAUGUGAAAGCCCCCGGCUCAACCGGGGAGGGUCAUUGGAAACUGGGAGACUUGAGUGCAGAAGAGGAGAGUGGAAUUCCAUGUGUAGCGGUGAAAUGCGUAGAUAUAUGGAGGAACACCAGUGGCGAAGGCGGCUCUCUGGUCUGUAACUGACGCUGAGGCUCGAAAGCGUGGGGAGCAAACAGGAUUAGAUACCCUGGUAGUCCACGCCGUAAACGAUGAGUGCUAAGUGUUGGAGGGUUUCCGCCCUUCAGUGCUGCAGCUAACGCAUUAAGCACUCCGCCUGGGGAGUACGACCGCAAGGUUGAAACUCAAAGGAAUUGACGGGGGCCCGCACAAGCGGUGGAGCAUGUGGUUUAAUUCGAAGCAACGCGAAGAACCUUACCAAGUCUUGACAUCCUGCGACGGUGCUGGAAACAGUAUUUUCCUUCGGGACGCAGAGACAGGUGGUGCAUGGUUGUCGUCAGCUCGUGUCGUGAGAUGUUGGGUUAAGUCCCGCAACGAGCGCAACCCUUAUUGUUAGUUGCCAUCAUUUAGUUGGGCACUCUAGCAAGACUGCCGGUGACAAACCGGAGGAAGGUGGGGAUGACGUCAAAUCAUCAUGCCCCUUAUGACCUGGGCUACACACGUGCUACAAUGGGAAGUACAACGAGUCGCAAAGUCGCGAGGCUAAGCUAAUCUCUUAAAGCUUCUCUCAGUUCGGAUUGUAGGCUGCAACUCGCCUACAUGAAGCCGGAAUCGCUAGUAAUCGCGGAUCAGCACGCCGCGGUGAAUACGUUCCCGGGCCUUGUACACACCGCCCGUCACACCACGAGAGUUUGUAACACCCGAAGUCGGUGAGGUAACCUUUUGGAGCCAGCCGCCUAAGGUGGGAUAGAUGAUUGGGGUG
rnacentral:rRNA from 1 species